rnacentral:lncRNA from 1 species
GGAAGGGAACAAGAGAAUUCUUUUAAUGAAACUCUGGUGGCUUUGGAUGCGUGGAGUGCAUUGAGCGUGCCUCGGUAGAAAAAGCACCUUCUGGAAAAAAGACACUCCUAGCCAUCAAUAGAGGGAGCUGUACCAAUAGAUAAAUGACCCACACAAUUAGCAGCUUGAAACACUCAUUUUUCCAUCCUUUGGAUGUAAGUCAACAAAAGUAAAAAACACACUGGCCCAACUGCUUCAAGGGAAACUGCACACUGACAUCUUCUGGACUGCUAGCUGGCACACACAAACAGAAGAGGUAACAAAGGUUCCCACCUGGUGUGAAUUUCAGUCAUCAGGGACUUAAGAGACAAAUGAAUAUCUGCAUCAAGCUUUUCUUUUUUUUUUAUUUGGAAGUAAUACACAUAUAAGUCCUGUGCUAUGCAAUUUUGUAAAUGCAUGGUCACAGAAUUGAUUAUGUGGGUUUUGAAUCUUUAAACUGUUAUUUGGGGUUCAAAUAAUCAAGCAUUCUAUUUGUGUAAGAGAAGUCAUGUUGAAAGCAGUUUGGUAUACGUAAAUUAGUGACAGUAGCCUAGUCAGUGGAAGUCACAAUUUUGUGACUGUCCUAAUGUAGUACAUGUAUACAUAAUGUAUACAUGCUGUCAGUCCGUCCAGGGGGGACCAAUCUCCACAUAACUGGUACGGAGGAAAGGGCACUAAGAAGUGGGGUUUGCUAACACAAAGUAAUAAGGCUAGCUUAUAUUUAUUUUUUUAAAGUACUGUUUUAAAAUACAUUGAAUAGAUGACCAAAAGAGAUACAUGCUUGGCUCAUGUAUGCUGUCAAAGUCAUCUUAUUCCCUGGCUAAGCCAGUUUCCCUGGACCAAUCUUGCUAAUGUUUUUCUACAGUGGUAUUUAUGUUCCUCAUUGAGGAUGAAAAGAAGGCCCAGAGUCUUUGUGGCAUCUAUUCACAAUGUCCAAAUGUUCUCAAGAACUGGACUUUCUUUCAACCCAGGGGGUCCUGAACAGUUUGUAAAUGGUAAAAGCCUCCAACCUUCUCAACAAUAACUGAAGGGCUGGCUGGCCAGCAACAUUGAAAGCCUCUACUUAAGUGAGAUAAACCUCCAAUGCAUCCAAAUCUCCAUGGGCAAUAUUGUGGCGAAUUGCACAGGAGGAAGAGAAUCCCCCUUUCCUUGGUUUUGUUUUCCACCAGAGGGUAGGACUUGCAGCUGACAUGGACAGCAUCCGUGCAGGAUGAGGACAUGUUUCAACCCUUUUGUACUGUUGUAUUUAUAUGGUUGCCUAUUCAAUCCAUUGCUAAAGCUUGUAACUCCAUUGUCCUACCCUAUAUCAACAACUGUUAAUACUAAACAAAACUUAAAACUCUGAUUUGUCAGUAUACAUGACAUACUUGAAAGAAAUUGUAUGAAACCUAACUCUUCAUACAAUGAAUAUACACAAUACGUAUCUUGUUAACUACAAAACUAAAAUUUGAGGAAUCUGUGCUAAUGAGCUGAAGGAAGUUUCAAUGAUUUAUUUUUCUAAAUAAUUCCAGCAGAACUUCCAAGCUCAGAAUUAGGCAAAAAUCUAGAAGUGUUGUCUUAUUGCAAGAGUUUGAACUCCUUAUUAGAGCAAGUUGGUACACAUUUUAAAAGCUCUUUCCAUUGCGUAGUCUUCAUUAACAUGUUCAGUUUAUGACAUUUAUUAUUUAAAAUAUUCCUUUCAUUGCUCUCUUUAGUAUCAUCAUCAGGACC